AGGUGGAAGGUGGCAGUUUUGGCCUCCUGAUCCUCACCUUUUUUCUGAGUUUUGUGUUUCUGUAUUUCUGGAGUGAAGCUCAGAACGAUUACAAUGAUUUUGACUGGUUUAAUUUUGGAAAUCUUGGCUUCUGGUUUCCCUGGUCUCUGGUUCUACUGGUUGUUGCUGCUGCUCUUUUCACAUACAUCGCCCUGCUGCUGGUGCUGGCUGUGUGUCUGCUCUCAGAGGGUCAAAGACUUUACCUUCACUGGAGCCACAAGGUACAUGU